UACGGAGGGUGCGAGCGUUGUCCGGAAUCACUGGGCGUAAAGGGCGCGUAGGUGGCUCGGCAAGCGUGCGGUGAAAGUUCGAGGCUCAACCUCGAAUCGGCCGUGCGAACUGCCAGGCUUGAGCACUGUAGAGGCAGAUGGAAUUCCUGGUGUAGCGGUGGAAUGCGCAGAUAUCAGGAGGAACACCGGUGGCGAAGGCGGUUCUCUGGGCAUUACCUGACGCUGAGGAGCGAAAGUGUGGGGAGCGAACAGG
rnacentral:rRNA from 1 species